GACGAACGCUGGCGGCGUGCUUAACACAUGCAAGUCGAACGGAGUGGCGAACGGGUGAGUAACACGUGGGUGACCUGCCCUGCACUUCGGGAUAAGCCUGGGAAACUGGGUCUAAUACCGGAUAGUGUGGGAUGGGCCCGCGGCCGAUCGGCUUGUUGGUGGGGUAAUGGCCUACCACGGCGGCGACGUGUAGCCGGCCUGAGAGGGGGGACGGCCACAAUGGGACUGAGACACGGCCCAGACUCGUACGGGAGGCAGCAGUGGGGAGUAUUGUGCAAUGGGCGGACGCCUGAUGCAGCGACGCCGGGGGGGGGAUGACGGCCUUCGGGUUGGAAACUCCUUUCGCCUACGACGCGGUAGAUGGAGAAGAAGCACCGGCUAACUACGUGCCAGCAGCCGCGGUAAUAC
rnacentral:rRNA from 1 species